GAUGAACGCUGGCGGCGUGCCUAAUACAUGCAAGUCGAGCGAACGGACGAGAAGCUUGCUUCUCUGAUGUUAGCGGCGGACGGGUGAGUAACACGUGGAUAACCUACCUAUAAGACUGGGAUAACUUCGGGAAACCGGAGCUAAUACCGGAUGAUAUUUUGAACCGUAUGGUUCAAAAGUGAAAGACGGUCUUGCUGUCACUUAUAGAUGGAUCCGCGCUGCAUUAGCUAGUUGGUAAGGUAACGGCUUACCAAGGCAACGAUGCAUAGCCGACCUGAGAGGGUGAUCGGCCACACUGGAACUGAGACACGGUCCGGACUCCUACGGGAGGCAGCAGUAGGGAAUCUUCCGCAAUGGGCGAAAGCCUGACGGAGCAACGCCGCGUGAGUGAUGAAGGUCUUCGGAUCGUAAAACUCUGUUAUUAGGGAAGAACAUAUGUGUAAGUAACUGUGCACAUCUUGACGGUACCUAAUCAGAAAGCCACGGCUAACUACGUG
rnacentral:rRNA from 1 species